rnacentral:rRNA from 1 species
AGAAUCAACGCUGGCGGCGUGCCUAACACAUGCAAGUCGCACGAGAAAGGGUAGCAAUACCUGAGUACAGUGGCGCACGGGUGAGUAACACGUGAACUAUCUACCUCCGAGUGGGGAAUAACUGAGAGAAAUCUUAGCUAAUACCGCAUAACACUUACGAGUCAAAGCAGCAAUGCGCUUGGAGAGGAGUUCGCGGCAGAUUAGUAGUUGGCGGGGUAAUGGCCCACCAAGACGAUGAUCUGUA